rnacentral:lncRNA from 1 species
UUUUUUUUUUCUUUUUUGCAGGCUUAGUUCAAAGUCAUGGAGUACACACUGGAAAGUGACAGACAGGAAUAUUUGAGGCAUGUGUACAGCUUGUGUCCUAGGAUGGCAUUCAGGAGCACACCUGCCCCCUGGGCAUGCUUAAGUUUCACUAUAGAAGUGACCAACAGGAACACCUUUAAGGAUUUUAUUUCCUCCCAAAGAAUUUUAGCUGGAUUUAAAAAGAGGGUGGAGAGGGUAUUUUAAAGGCGUCUUAAUAUAAGAGUUUAUUUCCAAAGGUGCCUUCCUCACUGAGUGCUGACAGAGACUACUAGAACAUUCUUUCCAACAUAUUCCAAGUUGUUCCUCUAAGGACUUCUCCUGUGUCCUGGGCUCCCUUUCCAGAGGCGUGUUGAGCUGCCAUUCUCUGACUGGUCGGCCCCAGUGGGCAUCAGGACUGCCUUCAGAGCUCAGCUUCCCCUGAUGGCCCAGUUCCCUGCUGCUGCCAGGCAACUCCCACACACCUCCUCUUCUUUCAAACCACCCCUCCCAUCUGGACUUCAGUCCGACCUUCCCCAGAUGCCUUCUUCACUCAACCACUCUCAAAAAGCUCUAGUGGUCCUGAGAAUACCAAGCUGGGUCUUCCCCCACAGUUGUCCCCAUGUGUCACUUACUGCAUUGUAGGACUGGUUGGGACUAGCGUGGAACCCUGAUGUCAGUGUCCAAAAGCCUUCUCUCUAAGCCUUUGCUGGGGCAGUUACCCCCAGGAGACCACAGCCUAAACGCUCUCCAGCUCAUUUGACUGCGUUUCCACCGACUAGUUCCAUGUGGGAGCCACAAGUUCACUUCCUGCUCUGUAUCAGGGCAGGGAGUGAACCAUGAAGUUCACCACAGGGAACUUGUCAUAGCUGAACAUGAAGCAUUUUAACAGUCUUCGGCCUGAUCUCAGGCACGCACCAAGUGGCCAAGCUCUGAGUGAGAAGAAACCUCUGAUGUUCCCAGGCCUAGCGAGGGGGUUUCCUGGGGCCUCCCAAGCCUUUUGUGAACUUUUGUUGCUCAGGGGAACAUGUUGACCUUUAGGUUGACCUCAGGGAUAGAAAUCUUCUCAGGGAGCCACUGCAGAGCAGUGACCCUGUGCUUCUUCCAGGUAAUAGAGCCCAUUGUAGCCUCCGGGUAAUCUCCUGAAAGGACAGUGGCCACAGAGGAAUCUGUGAGAGUUGCUGCUUUCUUUGUAGUCUGGGUAUUCAUCUCCUGAGGAUGCUCAAGGGACUUCAAGAGCCUCCCAUGGAUUCCCACAGAGCUUACAUUGUCUUCCACUCCAGCAAGAUUCAAAUCUUCAAGCCUAAUUUUCUACCACUCACUCAGCCCCUGAUAAAGACCAGCAAUGUCUAGGAGCUUUAGGGCAUGGGUCACUUUCAAGAUCCAAUCCUGUGUCGUCUUCUGCUAGAUGCAUGAUUUGGAACAUUUUCUUAAAUUUCUUUAUUUAAAAAAAUGAAGUAAGAGACUGGAGAGGUGGUUCAGUGGUUAAAUACUUGCUACUCUUGGAGGUGACCAGGGUUGGGGGGUCCCAACAUCCAUACUGAAUUAAUUGUUCAUGGCUACCUGAAAAUGCAUUCCAGGGGUUCUGCUGCCCUCUUCUGGCCACUCUAGGUAUCUGUAGACACAUGGUACACAUGUAGACACACACACUCAAAUAAAUUCAAAAUACCUUUUGGAAAAUGAAGUCAAUAAAAAACCACACCAGUUCUGCAGGAUCACCACCACAGAGUGCCACAGGCUGAACAGCUGCCAUAGCAAACUCCUCACAGUUUGAGAGACUGGAAUUCUGCAUCAAGAUGCUGAUGGAUGGCUUCUCCUGAGGCCUCUCUCCUUAGAAUUCCAGUGGUACCUUUGCUGAACCCUCAUGUGAUCCCUUUCUGUGUUUGUGUGUCCCUUCUGUCCUGGUUUGUCAUCUCCUUCUGCAUCACCUCCAUCAUCUGGCUGCCCUCAGCUAAUCUUGCCAUCAAACAAUUGAAGUAACAGUUCCAUGGGUUGGAGAGUACACAAACUUUAUCCAAAGAAAAGAUGUAAGUGUGCCCUGGCCAAACCAUCCAUCAAUUAACAACGAUAUGUCCAGCAUUACAACUGAGUUUAGAUGUGUUCCAUGGGUUGAAAACAGGUCUUAUCUGAUACCUGUACCAUUGACUCUUAAGACCAUGGAGGAUAAAGGUCACUGUCUAGUGAACUUCCAGAGAGAAAACUAUUUCCUGUCUAGAGUCUUAUGAGCCUGGCUUUUCUCAGCUCUUCUAUGAGAUGGAAUAAGGCCUUUUCCCUCCACCAAUUUUGGAUGAAAGAGAUGUGCUAUAGCCUUGGGUAGAGCUGGAAAACUUUUGGUGAUGUGCUCACAAAGUAGUGGGAUGAGGGUUUGGACAUCUCCAGGCCACCCUCUUUUCUAUACAGUCCCUGUUCUGUGUGGGUAAACGGCCAUCUUUACACCCCAUACUGCUUGCCAGUCCCAUUCCCAGGCUCUAGCCAGAUGCAUGCCUUUGACUUGGAGGCCUAUUUGUACUCCCAAAGAAAAAGCAGGUCAUUCCAGGGCCCAAGGAGCCAAUAGCUAGGAAGUAGAACAGGUUCUGCCAUCGAAGCAGGCCAAUGACCUUCAUUAUGAAUGACCUUGAGAACUUAAAAAAAAUCAGCUGUCAGAAGAACAACAUGGAGAAGAGACAGAGUUAGCAGGCAGCACCAGGUAGCCGGAAGAACGCUCUCCUACUUUGCACAGUCAUUGGUCUUCAGGAUAAUAUGGGAAUUCCUUUCAUUCCAGGACUUGGGUCAGGUGGAAGCAGGCAGAUCUCUGUGGGUUUGAGGCUAGUCUGGUCUACAAAAUGAGUUCAAGGACAGUUAGGGCUGUUACACAGAGAAAACCCUUUCUUGAAAAAUGAAAGAGAGAGAGAGAGACAGAGAGAGAGACAGAGACAGAGAGAGGGAGAGAGAGAAUGAAUGAAUGAAUGAAUGAAUGAAUGAAUGAAUUCAGGGGCUAGGAAUAUGGUUCAGUCAAUAAAGUUUUUGUCAUGCAAACAUUAUGACUUUGAUUUGAUCCUCAGCACCAC